GAGCAGAGGAGAAAGAACACAGCCCUGGGGGGAACCAGUGCUGAUGAGCUAGUUCCCCUCGUUCUGCCGGUCUGAGAUUCCUACUCCUGUGUCUCAAGAACUCUCUCUGCUACUCUGAAGGCUUCCUGUCUCAGCAGCACAGCACCCCUAUCUGGGUCUCCAGCUCCUGCUCCCACCUCUCAUCAACUACACCCCGGUAUAGACUCUGGUUCUCUUCCUUCACAACAACCAAACCUUCAAUAAACUCUCCUAAACAAAACUCCGUGUGUGUUCGGGUUAAUCAGGACAAAUCCUGACAUGUGUAAGGAGUGAAUUUGGACAAAUGUGGGGAUGUAUUGAUCCUUGGAAUAUUUAUUUUGUAUCUUUGUAGCUAUUUUGUCCAAAAUCCUUGUCUAUUUGAUGCAGAAACUAAACAACAAAUUCUAAAAAUGAUUAAUGGAAAGAAUGGCUAGAACACAAAGGGGUCAGCAACAGAAUCAGUCAACCAAAAGUCGAAGCUAAUGUAAUAGAUUUAUGCUCUAAUGAAGCCCAAAAGAAGCCUGGAAGGGAAAAUAUUUAAUAAUUUUUUUAGCAAUUGUUUUUCAUUUGUGGUUUUUAAUGUCCAUUUCAUGUCUUUUUCUACUGAUCAUAAAUAACCCAAAUUGUGGGAUGGAAUGUUGAAAACGUUUUAUGCCAUUUUCUUUUGUCGUAAAAUAUGUUGAACAAAGGAGGAAAACUUAGUUUAACUGAUAAGAAUGGAGAUAUUCACUAUAAUUACUAAAGCUUCAACCACCCUAUUUAAAGGGUCCUACAAUGUUCCUUCCUAGUCAAUCCUAAAGACCCUGCUAGGAAACUCUAAAAUUGUAAUGAGGCAGCCAAUCAGGGAUUAAUAAUCUGGUCUGGGACCAACUGUUCAUCCUUUAAAAUAAACCAGUUAAUAUUUUCUAUGAUUUUUACGUUAUGGUAAUCUUCAAAAGAUGGCAGUCAUAGCUAUUCAAAGGUGACCAUUGACACACGUGUACAAAACCUGUGCUUACAGUAAAACAAAACUAUGUGGCUGUGGCGCCAGGGUAGGGUGGGCGACCCAAGUUUGCAGUCCUCAAUGCAGAGGUGUCAAGUAACUAAGUACAAAUACUUUGUUACCUUAAGUAGACAUUUUUUGUUAUUUAUAUUUUAGUGGAGUUAUUACUAUUUAGCCUUUUUACUUCUUACAUUUUCUUGCAAUUAUCUUAAAAAUAGUCUCAUUACUUCUAUUUUAUUGCAGCUUGUUUUCGUUCUGGCUUGUCAAUAAAAAAAACUAAAAAAUA